rnacentral:rRNA from 1 species
UACGUAGGGCGCAAGCGUUGUCCGGAAUUACUGGGCGUAAAGCGCACGCAGGCGGUCUGUCAAGUCGGAUGUGAAAUCCCCGGGCUCAACCUGGGAACUGCAUUCGAAACUGGCAGGCUAGAGUCUUGUAGAGGGGGGUAGAAUUCCAGGUGUAGCGGUGAAAUGCGUAGAGAUCUGGAGGAAUACCGGUGGCGAAGGCGGCCCCCUGGACAAAGACUGACGCUCAGGUGCGAAAGCGUGGGGAGCAAACAGG